rnacentral:rRNA from 1 species
AUGGAUGGGGGACACACCUUGUUAGACUCGGUAGUCACACAACUGUCGCUUUACCACAUGUCUAUGUGGCUAAUGAACAAAACCUUCGUGGAAAAAUUAGACAAACAUAGGGGGAGAUUCUUCUGGCAAGGGUGCCAAAAGAAAUGCAGAUACCACCUUGUUAGGUGGAAUAGAGUCUGUAGAUCUAAAGAUAAGGGUGGACUCGGAGUUAAAGAUUUAUGCAAACAUAAUAUCAGUCUUAUGCUCAAGUGGUGGUGGAAACUAGACACCCAGAAUGGGAUCUCGCAAGAUAUUGUCAGGGCUAGAUACCUGCGUGAUCAAACUAUUGCGACGGUGAGUCCUCGUUUCUCUGAUUCACCCUGCUGGAAAAACAUGCUGACUAUUAAGAACCUAUAUAUGAUAGGCAGAAUAAUACAUGUGGGAGCCGGUAAUCUGACCAGGCUUUGGAAAGAUUCUAUCAAUGGGCUGGCCCCAUUUCAGGAACAAUUUCCUCGCCUGUUUGACAUUUCUGUCGACCAGAAUUGUACCCUGGAUAAAAUGGGGUCUGUAGUUUGUUCCAACUUC